rnacentral:tRNA from 1 species
GGCUCAAUGGUCUAGUGGUAUGAUUCUCGCUUUGGGCUAUACCUAGAAUGCGAGAGGCCCCGGGUUCGAAUCCCGGUUGAGCCC